CAUCCCACCAGAGGAAGAUCCUUCCAGAAAAGAGGUGAAACAAUGGAACCGAGUUGGUCGUUGGUGGCCGCUGCCUCUGAUCCGCCGACGGCGCCGGCUGCACCGGAGGCCUCGCCUGACUCUCCGCUGCAACAGCCCCACCACUCACUACCACCUCCACCUCCUCUUCCCCUCCUCCUCGUCGUCUCUUCUUCCGCCUACCCCAUCUCCUUCUACGCCGAUGUCGGCAACUACGCCGCAUGCGUCGUCCAUCCCCCAAGUUCGCGACGCCUCUUCCGUCUCCUUCUCUGAUGCAACAGCGCCUUCGCCACAGCCUCGCCUACCCCAUCUCCUCUGGGGCGACGUUGGCAAGUAUGCCCCCGGCGUCGUCCGCCCCCAAUUCUGCAACGCCUCUCAUGCAGUGGCCUAGCCGCCCACAACCACCACCUCUUCCUCCCUCCUGAUGCGCUUCGCGUCCAUCCAAUUCGAGUACGAGCUACUCCCCGAGGGCCUCUACCCCACCUGCAAUUGGAACACCACACACGAGCUCCACACCCGUGUCCUCCUUCAGUGCAAUCCGUCUAGGAGAUGCUGAUCCGGUGUGAUGGUUGCCAUGGAGAAACGACUAUGCAACCCAAUAUAAAGUGGGCAGGGAUAUGGGACUCACGUUUGCUGAAACUAGACCCCAAGAAGGCACGCAAUAUUCAGAAAGAAUGAAGUGUGAGGAGGUAUGAUUCAUUACCAUUCGCUGCUUCGUGAAUGACAAAGGUAUGGCUAUGGACGAAUAGUAAAAUCUUCUCUAUUUCUCGUCAACCCUUGCUUCAUCUUUGUUACCCAAUCUUUACUUGUGCAAUUUCAUAUAUGUAAUGGAACUGUCUUCAAUUGUAUCCAUAAGCGAUGUCCACUAUGACAUUGUUUGGUUCCAAUUUAUUAUCCAGAAUCUUCUUGUGGAAUAAAUUUUGAGUAUUGGAAAUGUUUGUGUAUACCUUCCUGAACCGGUAUUUUGAUACGGCGAAUCUAAUAUAAAUAGUCGACAAAGAAGUUCUCAACAUGUAGUCCAAGGUGUGAAUCAAGUACAAUUUGGUGGCUGUAAAUAUUCAAUCUAUCUAACUAGGGCGAGUCAUCUGAAAUUGCUUCCUGAAGUUUGCGCAAAGGACUUUCAGAAAAAUAUAACUUAGAUACUUGUUUUAGUGCUCGUGAUAUUUAAAAAAAUCAUAUGCUUGUUUUGAUUAUUUUUUGGCAGUUCUUUUUAUUACAUUCUCUGUUCAAAACUUUUGGAUGACACCUAUACAAGGCCUCUUUUUCAUCGAUGCUUGCUAGCUCCACAUCUAAAUUUUUAGGUCACAUCCCAACAUUUGUUUCCUUGUUGUGUGUUCUCGGCAUCUUUUUUUUCCAGAAACCCGGUUGUUGGUAAAGUUAUAAGAGGUCCAGUACUAAUUCUUUGUAUGUGUAUGUACAUGUGCACUCGCCCCUUCUAUAUACGCAUGAUUUCAAAGCAUGUUUUACUGUACAUUUUCUUUCUUUGCUUGGUAGAAAAUGUGUUGCAAGUAUUGUUUCCUGUUCUUUUGCUUUGUUUAAAUAUACUACAGACCCUCUACUGGCUCAUUUUUCCCCUUUGUCUGAAUAUAACCCAGAUAGUUAUGUAGGCAGUAGUGAUUAUCUGAUGUUCUUUUAGGUGAAUAGAUAGGCAAAAUAUAAUGAUAAAUGGCACAUAUUUACAUACCUUAGGCAUCUAUGAGGCCAUGGAAUAAUUUGUCAAGCAUGGUAUUCCCUUUGCUCAAAACAUAUGUGCCAUUUAUCAUUAUAUUUUGCCCAUGGUGGAAUGUUGCAUUGUAUAAUGCUCUCAUCCAUGGAGAGAUUACAUAUGCACAACAUGGGUGGCAUAUCAGGGUAUGGCUAACAGGUUAAGCCCAGGGCUGAAGGAUGAAGUCAAUAGUUGUCGCAAGUUUCCACGUGCGUGUGGACGGAUUCUAUCUGAUGCAUGUUAUAUGUCCCCUCAAUAUAGGAUAGAGCAAGCAAUGUGAAAGGUGAGUAGUGAGAACAAGAAUUCUUUCUACAAGGCAAAAAUGGAGAAGAACAUGUUUGGCUUAGUAGGCAAAAAUGGCUUUACCAUUUGUUUGGUUGUGUUUGAGAUGUACCUAUCGACAAUGUAACAUCACUUCAGUCAAUGUCUUGUAUAUUUUUUUGUUUUCUGUAGCAAGGUACAUAUCCUUAUUAUCUCUCGGUAUAUUUUCUUUUUAUUGUCCAUGGCAA